CCUACGGGAGGCAGCAGUGGGGAAUCUUGCACAAUGGGGGAAACCCUGAUGCAGCGAUGCCGCGUGAGUGAAGAAGGCCUUUGGGUUGUAAAACUCUUUCGUCGGGGAAGAAAAUGACUGUACCCGAAUAAGAAGGUCCGGCUAACUUCGUGCCAGCAGCCGCGGUAAUACGAAGGGACCUAGCGUAGUUCGGAAUUACUGGGCUUAAAGAGCUCGUAGGUGGUUAAAAAAGUUGAUGGUGAAAUCCCAAGGCUUAACCUUGGAACUGCCAUCAAAACUUUUUAGCUAGAGUGUGAUAGAGGUAAGUGGAAUUUCUAGUGUAGAGGUGAAAUUCGUAGAUAUUAGAAAGAACACCAAAUGCGAAGGCAACUUACUGGGUCACUACUGACACUGAGGAGCGAAAGCAUGGGUAGCGAAGAGGAUUAGAUACCCUCGUAGUCCAUGCCGUAAACGAUGUGUGCUAGACGUUGGAAAUAUAUUUUUCAGUGUCGCAGCGAAAGCAUUAAGCACACCGCCUGGGGAGUACGACCGCAAGGUUAAAACUCAAAUGAAUGACGG
rnacentral:rRNA from 1 species